GUUCAGACUGCAGGCUGCAACUCGCCUGCACGAAGUCGGAAUUGCUAGUAAUCGUAGGUCAGCAUACUACGGUGAAUACGUUCCCGGGCCUUGUACACACCGCCCGUCAAACCAUGAGAGUUGGCAACACCCGAAGUCGGUAGUCUAACCGCAAGGAGGACGCCGCCGAAGGUGGGGUUGAUGAUUAGGGUUAAGUCGUAACAAGGUAUC
rnacentral:rRNA from 1 species